rnacentral:tRNA from 1 species
CAGGAUGUAGUCUAACAGCAAACCAUCUCCCCCACACUGAGAAACUACCUGUGCAAAUCAGGUCGUCCUGA